rnacentral:rRNA from 1 species
AAUGAACGCUGGCGGCGUGCUUAACACAUGCAAGUCGAACGAGAAAGUUCUUCGGAACUAGUAAAGUGGCAAACGGGUGAGUAACGCGUGAGAAUUUACCUUUUAGUGAAGGAUACUCCCGAGAAAUCGCGGUUAAUACUGCAUAAGUCUCGAAAGAGAGAAAGGCGGCCUCUUUGCUGUCGCUAAAAGAUAAGCUUGCGUCCUAUUAGCUAGUUGGUGUGGUAAAGGCGCACCAAGGCAAUGAUGGGUAACCGGCCUGAGAGGGUGUACGGUCACACUGGAACUGAGACACGGUCCAGACUCCUACGGGAGGCAGCAGUGGGGAAUAUUGGACAAUGGGCGAAAGCCUGAUCCAGCAAUGCCGCGUGAGUGAUGAAGGCCUUAGGGUUGUAAAGCUCUUUUACCCGGGAUGAUAAUGACAGUACCGGGAGAAUAAGCCCCGGCUAACUCCGUGCCAGCCGCCGCAAUAA